rnacentral:tRNA from 1 species
GCUUCGGCGGUGCAGUUGGUUAGCACCAGUUGUUUUGCACGACAGGUUUAGGGUUCGAUUCCCUACCGGGGCU